UGCAUGUCUUUCUCCGUUUGG
ensembl:piRNA 21ur-178 ncRNA